GACGAACGCUGGCGGCGUGCUUAACACGUGCAAGUCGAACGGAAAGGCCCUGCUUUUGUGGGGUGCUCGAGUGGCGAACGGGUGAGUAACACGUGAGUAACCUGCCCUUGACUUUGGGAUAACUUCAGGAAACUGGGGCUAAUACCGGAUAGGAGCUCCUGCUGCAUGGUGGGGUUGGAAAGUUUCGGCGGUUGGGGAUGGACUCGCGGCUUAUCAGCUUGUUGGUGGGGUAGUGGCUUACCAAGGCUUUGACGGGUAGCCGGCCUGAGAGGGUGACCGGCCACAUUGGGACUGAGAUACGGCCCAGACUCCUACGGGAGGCAGCAGUGGGGAAUAUUGCACAAUGGGCGGAAGCCUGAUGCAGCAACGCCGCGUGCGGGAUGACGGCCUUCGGGUUGUAAACCGCUUUCGCCUGUGACGAAGCGUGAGUGACGGUAAUGGGUAAAGAAGCACCGGCUAACUACGUG
rnacentral:rRNA from 1 species